rnacentral:rRNA from 1 species
UACAGAGGGGGCAAGCGUUAUUCGGAAUUAUUGGGCGUAAAGGGCGCGUAGGCGGCCUGGCAAGUGGAAGGUGAAAUCCCUCGGCUUAACCGAGGAACUGCCUUCCAAACUGCUUGGCUUGAGUCCGGGAGAGGUGAGUGAAAUUCCCAGUGUAGCGGUGAAAUGCGCAGAUAUCGGGAAGAACACCCGUGGCGAAGGCGGCUCUCUGGGACGGUACUGACGCUGAGACGCGAAAGCGUGGGGAGCAAACAGG